CCCUGAAAGCUCUUGUUUAACAAACGUUUGUAUUUUUAUCUUCAUGUAAAUUGUCUUCCUCCCUUUUGAAGACCCAAACCACUACCCCCAACAUCCUCCUUUGUCUUUCAUUAAACAUAGUAUUUAAGUUCUUGGACCAGCCAGAAGAACCCAGAGGGUAGAGGAAUUGUCUUCCUUCCCUUCCUUUCCUGAUGAAGGUGGGAUAAAACUUAACUGGCUGGAUGCUGCUCGCUCCUGGACUACUGCAACUGAGAGAUCCUGGACCUCUGACAAGAGCUGACAGAAGAAAUUCUUUUUAUUAAAUACCUGAUUGCUUGCUUACACAAUAUAAGCCCAGCUUUGAGAGCCUACCUGCAUCACCACCUUCUGAAAUGAAUUUAACUGAAUUAUUAUCAGCACUAAAAGACCUAUUCAGUGACAUGGAACAAUCUAUCAACUCAGCUUCUGGACUGUGAAACCUCUUAAAGUUUCAAAGGUGGGAGUGUGGGGGAUCAGAAUUGGUCACCCCAAAAUGUGUCUCCUUGGCUUGAUUAUUUUUAAGAACAAAAAACUCUGAGAGAAAUUUUGGCUUUCCUCCUAGCUGCCUGAAAGAAUCAGUCCAGGAAGAAGCUGAUACCAUAAGAUAACCAUAGUAUAAUUUAAAGUAGGUGUGAUACAAAGGCACCAACAAGCGCUUUUUUUAAUCAAAGCUUUGCCUAUACAUGGCUGUGCAAACACUUGUUUAUCAAACAUUUGCAUUUUGUCUCCAUGUAAAUUGUCUUCUUCCUCUUUGAAGACCCAAACCACUACCCACCACACUCCAUUGUCUUUAGCUGAAGAUGGUAUUUAAGGUGGUGGCUUUGGCUUUUCUGGUGAGUUACUCAGUUUUCCUAUGUAUGCAUGUUAUUAUACAUGGGGUUUCUCCCAUGUGUACGGUUACUAAAAUUUGUUUCAUAUCUAUCAUUAUUCUGUCUCAUGUUAAUUUAAUUCUUGGACCAACCAGAAGGGCCUAGAGGGCAGAGGAAUUGUCUUCCUCCCUUACAAUGGCUCAAGUCUAGACUGGGUUAGGUGCCCACCCCGUCCCUGAAUGUCUUGGCUUCCAGGGCUCACCUCUUUCAUUGCACUCAAAUCCCUUUUUCUCUCUUCUUCAGUAGGCAGAGACCCUUGAGAGAAGGGAUUUCUCUUGUUCAUCUCUGUAAACCAUGCAGCACAGUGCCUGACUUGGUGAAUACUCAGAAAUUGUCUUCUGAUUCCAUUUUAAAGAUGUGGUAUCUUAUGUUCAGAGAGGAUAAGCUAGAAAGUGAGAGAGCAUUGGCCAGAACUCACAUCUUCUCAACUCCUAGUCCCAUGCUCUUUCUCUGGCACCAGGCUGCUUUAUGGAAUACUACCUCACAUUGGUUUAGUGGAGCACAGUACCAGUAGUUGCAAACAAAUUGAUUUUUAACAUUAGCCUGAGUUAGGCAUGGUUGGGAAGAUAAAUUUGUUGUGAUUUGCUUCAUACCAUGAAAUGUAUUCUAAAGCUGAGUAGAAAUGAGUCUCAUGUUGCCUACUUAUUUGGAGUAUUCAAAUCACAUUCUUUUCACAAACAUGUGUAAUCAAGGAUCAAUUGUGCCUCUGCAGAGGAGUUCUAGAAUUCCCAGGCUGGGAGAGACUCCAAGGAUCAUAUAUUCACUCCCUUGGGUGUUCAGAUGAAAGAGUCUAGAAAGAUCCAGAUAGGUUUCACAACUUGGCAAAGGCAACAUACUUCAAAGGGACAUACAAGAAAUCAAGCAUCCUAAUCCUAGGCCAGUGAUAUUGUUUAAUACACUGGGCAAAUACUCAGUCUUCUUUUGCUUUUUAUUCUGACAUUUAUUAUUUGAAAGUGUCUCUGGGUAUCCUCUCAGUCCCACCAUGAAGAGUGACCUCCUUUCCUGAGGUGGCCAUAGAGUGGCCUGAGCAGCCUGGAAUUUUUUCUCUGUAUGGAUUUUCACUGUUGUGUGAGAUCCUCCUCUGUGGGAAGGGGGAGGGACAAGCACAGGGCAGGCGUGUCCUGAAGUUCAGUUCUUCCUGGAAGGAGGCCAGGCCAUGUUCUCAGUGCCAGGUAAGCUCAUUCUCAGGGAGGAACAGAGGUAGGAACAGUGUGUGGGGACUGGGUUUACCAUGAUUUUGUACAGUCCUGUCUGGGUCCAGGUCUCAUGUUUGGAGGCUCAGAGUACCUUGAGAAAAUUUAUGGGAUACAAAGCCAAGAAAUGAAAUUGAAAUUAGACAAGAGUAUCUUCCAGGAUUGGAAUAUUUUGGAUUUCAACUUUGAACUAACUUUAUUUAUUUCCACUCCAUGAACCUUGUAUUGAUAUGUAAUUUUUGUGAGUUACACCUAAAUUGUAGAGUAUUUGAAGGAGAAUGCCACUCUUGGAGAAACUCAAAUCAUGCACAGGUAGGAGCAUCUAAAAAUCAUCAGGUAGUGGAGACAAGGAAGGGAGAUACUGGGGGUGUUUGAUCAUAACCUUCAGCCAUCUUUUAGGAGAGAGCUUGAUUAUUAGAAUACAACUGAAUUCCCAUGUCUGUUUAUGCAUUGUAUCUAUGGCAAUAUGUUGGUUUGAUUGAAAUAUAUGACAAAAACCUGGUCUUACAUAGAUAUGGAGUUCAUAAAGAGAUGUUAGUUGCAAUGUAAGAUGUUAAUAAACUUUUCAUAUUCUGUGACAUUAAAA
ensembl:lncRNA